AACGAACGCUGGCGGCGCGCCUAAUACAUGCAAGUCGAGCGAGAAGACGUAGCAAUACGUUUGUAAAGCGGCGAACGGGUGAGGAAUACAUGGGUAACCUACCCUCGAGUGGGGAAUAACUAGCCGAAAGGUUAGCUAAUACCGCGUACGCUCCUUGGACUUCGGUUCAGGGAGGAAAGCGAUACCGUGGGUAUCGCGCUCUUGGAUGGGCUCAUGUCCUAUCAGCUUGUUGGUGAGGAACGGCUCACCAAGGCUUCGACGGGUAGCUGGUCUGAGAGGGCGACCGGCCACACUGGGACUGAGACACGGCCCAGACUCCUACGGGAGGCAGCAGUGGGGAAUCUUGCGCAAUGGGCGAAAGCCUGACGCAGCGACGCCGCGUGAGGGAUGACGGCCU
rnacentral:rRNA from 1 species